AUUGAACGCUAGCGGCAGGCUUAACACAUGCAAGUCGAACGAGUGGCGGACGGGUGAGUAAUGUCUGGGAAACUGCCCGAUGGAGGGGGAUAACUACUGGAAACGGUAGCUAAUACCGCAUACCAUCGGAUCUGCCCAGAUGGGAUUAGCUAGUAGGUGGGGUAAAGGCUCACCUAGGCGACGAUCCCUAGCUGGUCUGAGAGGAUGACCAGCCACACUGGAACUGAGACACGGUCCAGACUCCUACGGGAGGCAGCAGUGGGGAAUUUUGGACAAUGGGGGCAAGCCUGAUGCAGCCAUGCCGCGUGUAUGAAGAAGGCCUUCGGGUUGUAAAGUACUUUCAGCGAGGAGGCGGUACUCGCAGAAGAAGCACCGGCUAACUCCGUGCCAGCAGCCGCGGUAAUUC
rnacentral:rRNA from 1 species